rnacentral:rRNA from 1 species
UCAAGCUACUAAGGGCGUACGGUGGAUGCCUUGGCGCAGGACGGCGAUGAAGGACGCGGUAAGCUGCGAAAAGCUCCGGUGAGUCGCAAACAGGCUUUGACCCGGAGAUUUCCGAAUGGGGCAACCCCUCGAGUAACCCUCGAGAACGUCAUCUGAAUACAUAGGGUGGCGUGGCCUACCCGGGGAAGUGAACCAUCUCAGUACCCGGAGGAACAGAAAGCAAAUGCGAUUCCCCCAGUAGCGGCGAGCGAAGAGGGAACAGCCCAAACCUUUGAUGUGUAAGCCUGCAGGCGUUGUAUCAAGGGUGUUGUAGGGCCGGACAUGGUGUGGCUGCAGCAGCACCGGGGAGUGAGAAACCAAUCUCCUAACCGAACGAUCUGGAAAGGUCGGCGAUACAGGGUGAUAGCCCCGUAGGUGAAAGGAGAGAGGCUCCCUCGUCUGGUACCUGAGUACCGCGGGACACGUGGAACCCUGCGGGAACCUGGGAGGACCAUCUCCCAAGGCUAAAUACGUGCCUGCGACCGAUAGUGAACCAGUACCGUGAGGGAAAGGUGAAAAGAACCCCUGUGAGGGGAGUGAAAUAGUACCUGAAACCGUAUGCCUACAAGCAGUGGGAGGGCGUUUGCCGGGGCUUCGGCUCCGAUAUUGCCUGACCACGUGCCUUUUGCAUAAUGAGCCGGCUAGUUAUUCUCGGUGGCAAGGUUAAGCGUUAAGCCAGCCGCAGCGAAAGCGAGUCUGAUAAGGGCGAUUCAGUCGCCGGGAAUAGACGCGAAGCGAGGUGAUCUACCCAUGGCCAGGGUGAAAGUCGGGUAACACCGACCGGAGGCCCGAACCAGUGUUGGUUGAAAACAACUUGGAUGAGCUGUGGGUAGGGGUGAAAGGCUAAUCAAACCUCGUGAUUGCUCGUUCUCCUCGAAAUAGCUUUAGGGCUAGCCUCGCGGGUUAGCUUCCGGAGGUAAAGUACUGGAUGGACUAGGGCCUCUACCAAGGUACUGAAUCCAACCAAACUCUGAAUGCCGGAAAGCCGGACCGCGGGAGUCAGACAGUGGGGGCUAAGCUUCAUUGUCGAGAGGGAAACAGCCCAGACCGCCAGCUAAGGUCCCUAAUUCAGACUUAGUGGUAAAGGAUGUGGAUCCGCUAAAACAGCCAGGAGGUUGGCUUAGAAGCAGCCAUCCUUCAAAGAAAGCGUAAUAGCUCACUGGUCGAGUGGAUCCGCGCCGACAAUUCAACGGGGCUCAAGUCUGAUACCGAAGCUGCGGACUCGUGAGAGAUUCGUCUCUCAUGAUUGGUAGAGGAGCGUUCCAUGUUCGCUGAAGCUCGACCGACAAGGACGAGUGGAGGGCAUGGAAGAGACCCUGCCGGCACAAGUAGCGAUAAAACACGCGAGAACCGUGUUCGCCGAAAGCCUAAGGUUUCCUGAGGAAGGUCAAUCCGCUCAGGGUUAGUCGGUCCUAAGGCCAGGCCGAAAGGCGUAGCCGAUGGAAAACGGGUCAACAUUCCCGUACUGCCGCAAGGCGAUAAAGACCGAUGGGGUGACGCAGAAGGGCAAGCCAGCCCGCGACUGGUUGUGCGGGUUCAAGGGUGUAGGAAGGCUUCGCAGGUAAAUCCACGAAGUCGCGUUUCCGAGACCUGAUAACGAGAGCUUCGGCUCAUAAAGUGGCCCAUCCCACGCUGCCAAGAAAAGCCUCUAAGGAGUCUUGUGGUGACCGUACCGCAAACCGACACAGGUAGGCGAGGAGAGAAUCCUAAGGCGCUAGUGAGAACCCUCGUUUAGGAACUCGGCAAAAUAGCCCCGUAACUUCGGGAGAAGGGGUGCCCUCUCUGGUGAAGGACUUCGCGUCCGGAGCUGGGGGGGGUUGCAGUGAAUUGGCCCAGGCGACUGUUUACUAAAAACAUAGGGCUCUGCAAAGUCAACAAAACGACGUAUAGGGCCUGACGCCUGCCCGGUGCCGGAAGGUUAAAGAGAGGGGUUAGUCCUUCGGGACGAAGCUCUGAACUGAAGCCCCGGUAAACGGCGGCCGUAACUAUAACGGUCCUAAGGUAGCGAAAUUCCUUGUCGGGUAAGUUCCGAC